rnacentral:rRNA from 1 species
GGGUUGUAAAGCACUUUCAAUAGGGAAGAAGUCUCUAGGGAUAACACCCCUGAGGAUUGACGUUACCUAUAGAAGAAGCACUGGCUAACUCUGUGCCAGCAGCCGCGGUAAUACAGAGAGUGCGAGCGUUAAUCGGAAUCACUGGGCGUAAAGCGCGCGUAGGUUGAUAUUUAAGUCGGAUGUGAAAGCCCUGGGCUUAACUUAGGAAUUGCAUCCGAUACUGGAUGUCUCGAGUAUAGUAGAGGGAAGUGGAAUUUCCGGUGUAGCGGUGAAAUGCAUAGAUAUCGGAAAGAACACCAGUGGCGAAGGCGGCUUCCUGGACUAAUACUGACACUGAGGUGCGAAAGCGUGGGGAGCAAACAGGAUUAGAGACCCUGGUAGUCCACGCCGUCAACGAUGAGAACUAGCUGUUGGAAAGUUUUCUUUCUAGUAGCGAAGCUAACGCGUUAAGUUCUCCGCCUGGGGAGUACGGCCGCAAGGUUAAAACUCAAAGAAAUUGACGGGGGCCCGCACAAGCGGUGGAGCAUGUGGUUUAAUUCGAUGCAACGCGAAAAACCUUACCUACCCUUGACAUCCUCG